CGAGCGAUCUAAGGGAGCUUGCUCCCAAAGAUUAGCGGCGGACGGGUGAGUAACACGUGGGCAACCUACCUGUAAGACUGGGAUAACUUCGGGAAACCGGAGCUAAUACCGGAUAACAUAUGAGACCACAUGGUCUUAUAUUAAAAGAUGGCUUCUYGCUAUCACUUACGGAUGGGCCCGCGGCGCAUUAGCUAGUUGGUGAGGUAACGGCUCACCAAGGCAACGAUGCGUAGCCGACCUGAGAGGGUGAUCGGCCACACUGGGACUGAGACACGGCCCAGACUCCUACGGGAGGCAGCAGUAGGGAAUCUUCCGCAAUGGACGAAAGUCUGACGGAGCAACGCCGCGUGAGCGAAGAAGGUCUUCGGAUCGUAAAGCUCUGUUGUUAGGGAAGAACAAGUAUCGUUCGAAUAGGGCGGUACCUUGACGGUACCUAACCAGAAAGCCACGGCUAACUACGUGCCAGCAGCCGCGGUAAUACGUAGGUGGCAAGCGUUAUCCGGAAUUAUUGGGCGUAAAGCGCGCGCAGGCGGUCCUUUAAGUCUGAUGUGAAAGCCCACGGCUCAACCGUGGAGGGUCAUUGGAAACUGGGGGACUUGAGUGCAGAAGAGGAGAGCGGAAUUCCACGUGUAGCGGUGAAAUGCGUAGAGAUGUGGAGGAACACCAGUGGCGAAGGCGGCUCUCUGGUCUGUAACUGACGCUGAGGCGCGAAAGCGUGGGGAGCGAACAGGAUUAGAUACCCUGGUAGUCCACGCCGUAAACGAUGAGUGCUAAGUGUUAGAGGGUUUCCGCCCUUUAGUGCUGAAGUCAACGCAUUAAGCACUCCGCCUGGGGAGUACGGUCGCAAGACUGAAACYCAAAGGAAUUGAC
rnacentral:rRNA from 1 species